GUGCCAGCCGCCGCGGUAAUACAGAGGGGGCAAGCGUUGUUCGGAAUUACUGGGCGUAAAGGGCGCGUAGGCGGCCCACUAAGUCAGACGUGAAAUCCCACGGCUCAACCGUGGAACUGCGUCUGAGACUGGAGGGCUUGAAUCCGGGAGAGGGAUGCGGAAUUCCAGGUGUAGCGGUGAAAUGCGUAGAUAUCUGGAGGAACACCGGUGGCGAAGGCGGCAUCCUGGACCGGCAUUGACGCUGAGGCGCGAAAGCCAGGGGAGCAAACGGGAUUAGAUACCCCAGUAGUCC
rnacentral:rRNA from 1 species